AGAGUUUGAUCCUGGCUCAGAACGAACGCUGGCGGCGCGUUUUAAGCAUGCAAGUCGAGGGGGAUUAUGUUGGGUAACCAAUAUAUGAGACCGGCGAACGGGUGAGUAACACGUAGGUGAUCUACCUUAAGGACUAGGAUAGCCUCUGGAAACAGAGAGUAAUACUGGAUAUGCAUUUUCGUUUACGAACGAAAAUGGAAAAGUGCUUUGGCACUGCCUUAUGAUGAGCCUGCGGCUGAUUAGCUUGUUGGUGUGGUAAAGGCAUACCAAGGCAGAGAUCAGUAGCCGGCCUGAGAGGGUGAACGGCCACACUGGGACUGAGAUACGGACCAGACUCCUACGGGAGGCAGCAGCUAAGAAUCUUCCGCAAUGGACGAAAGUCUGACGGAGCGACGCCGCGUGGGUGAUGAAGGCCGUGAGGUUGUAAAGCCCUUUUCUGCCUGAGGAAUAAGGUUUGGAGGAAAUGCCAAACUGAUGACGGUAGGGCAGGAAUAAGCCCCGGCUAAUUACGUGCCAGCAGCCGCGGUAACACGUAUGGGGCGAGCGUUGUUCGGAAUUAUUGGGCGUAAAGAGCGCGUAGGCGGAUAUAUAUGUCCGGUGUGAAAUAUUACAGCUUCACUGUAAUGCUGCGCUGGAAACGAUAUGUCUUGAGUACUUGAGGGGGAACUGGAAUUCCUGGUGUAAGGGUGAAAUCUGUAGAUAUCAGGAAGAACACCAGAGGCGAAGGCGAGUUCCUGGCAAGAGACUGACGCUGAUGCGCGAAAGCGUGGGUAGCAAACAGGAUUAGAUACCCUGGUAGUCCACGCUGUAAACGAUGUGCACUAGGUGUUGGGGUGAUAUACCUCAUUACCGGAGCUAACGCGGUAAGUGCACCGCCUGGGGAGUAUGCCGGCAACGGUGAAACUCAAAGGAAUUGACGG
rnacentral:rRNA from 1 species